rnacentral:rRNA from 1 species
GGAGAGUUUGAUCAUGGCUCAGAACGAACGCUGGCGGCAGGCUUAACACAUGCAAGUCGAACGCCCCUUCGGGGGAGUGGCAGACGGGUGAGUAACGCGUGGGAAUUUACCCAGCUCUACGGAACAACUCAGGGAAACUUGAGCUAAUACCGUAUACGCCCUUUUGGGGAAAGAUUUAUCGGAGUUGGAUGAGCCCGCGUUUGAUUAGCUAGUUGGUGGGGUAAUGGCCUACCAAGGCGACGAUCAAUAGCUGGUCUGAGAGGAUGAUCAGCCACACUGGGACUGAGACACGGCCCAGACUCCUACGGGAGGCAGCAGUGGGGAAUAUUGGACAAUGGGCGCAAGCCUGAUCCAGCCAUGCCGCGUGAGUGAUGAAGGCCCUAGGGUUGUAAAGCUCUUUCAACGGUGAAGAUAAUGACGGUAACCGUAGAAGAAGCCCCGGCUAACUUCGUGCCAGCAGCCGCGGUAAUACGAAGGGGGCUAGCGUUGUUCGGAUUUACUGGGCGUAAAGCGCACGUAGGCGGAUCGUUAAGUGAGGGGUGAAAUCCCAGGGCUCAACCCUGGAACUGCCUCUCAUACUGGCGAUCUCGAGUUCGAGAGAGGUGAGUGGAAUUCCGAGUGUAGAGGUGAAAUUCGUAGAUAUUCGGAGGAACACCAGUGGCGAAGGCGGCUCACUGGCUCGAUACUGACGCUGAGGUGCGAAAGUGUGGGGAGCAAACAGGAUUAGAUACCCUGG